rnacentral:rRNA from 1 species
GAGAGGGUGAGACUCCCGUCCGCCUGGUGGAGUGAGUCAUUUGUCAACGAGUCGAGUUGUUUGGGAUUGCAGCUCUAAUUUGGUGGUAAAUUCCAUCUAAAGCUAAAUAUUGGUGGGAGACCGAUAGCGUACAAGUACCGUGAGGGAAAGAUGCAAAGAACUUUGAAAAGAGAGUUAAAGAGUACCUGAAACUGCUGAAACGGAAGCGAAGGAAACCAGUGUUUGUUGGUUCAUA